AACAAGUUGACGAGGAGUAAUAAAGCAAGACUUAUAGAGAGAACACGGUUGGUGAAAGUGUUCAGUCAAACUUUAUGAAGGUUGCGUCAUUUCAAGAAAAUUAUGGCAUAAAAUGAGUGUCGUCAAUUGACGAAAAUCAGGUGGUACCGUGCGGAAGCACCCUGGAG
rnacentral:ncRNA from 1 species